rnacentral:ncRNA from 2 species
GCUCUCUUGUCGGAGUGCCGAAAGGCUGAGACCACGGUUAGCUAAGCUACGUUGUGUGGGAUCCGUAUAACUUGAUCAGGAUAAUGCCUGCGCAGGGAACAAGAUAAGUAAUCAA